GACGAACGCUGGCGGCGUGCUUAACACAUGCAAGUCGAACGGUGAAGCGCCUUCCUUUUUGGUGGUUUGGGUGGGUUGCCGACCGGUGGGUUAACCGUUGGUAACCCUCCCCCUUUUUUUUGAUUACCCCCUUGAAGUUUUGCCUAUUAGGGGUUAUUCUGGUUCUUUCGCAUGUUGGUCCUGGGAAGGUUUUUGUUUCGGUGGGGGUGGGCUUGCGGCCUAUCAGCUUGUUGGUGGGGUGAUGGCCUACCAAGGCGGUGACGGGUAGCCGGCCUGAGAGGGUGGACGGUCACACUGGGACUGAGACACGGCCCAGACUCCUACGGGAGGCAGCAGUGGGGAAUAUUGCACAAUGGGCGCAAGCCUGAUGCAGCGACGCCGCGUGAGGGAUGGAGGCCUUCGGGUUGUGAACCUCUUUCGCCAGUGAAGCAGGCCUGCCUCGUGUGUGGGUGGGUUGACGGUAGCUGGAUAAGAAGCGCCGGCUAACUACGUG
rnacentral:rRNA from 1 species